rnacentral:rRNA from 1 species
GACGAACGCCGGCGGCGUGCUUAACACAUGCAAGUCGAACGGACAGGCCCUGCUUUUGUUGGGUGCUCGAGUGGCGAACGGGUGAGUAACACGUGAGUAUCCUGCCCUUGUCUUUGGGAUAACUUCAGGAAACUGGGGCUAUUACCGGAUAGGAGCUCCUGCUGCAUGGGGGGGGUUGGAAAGUUUCGGUGUUUGGGGAUGUACUCGCGGCUUAUCCGCUUGUUGGUGGGGUAGGGGCUGACCAAGGCUUUGACGGGUAGCCGGCAUGGGAGGGGGACCAGCCACAUUGGGACUGCGAGAGGGCCCAGACUGCUAUGGGACGCAGCAGUGGGGAAUCUUGCACAAUGGGCGGAAGCGAGAGGCAGCGAUGCCGCGAGCGGAAUAACGGGCUUCGGGUUGAGAACCGCUUUCGACUGAGACGAAGCGUGAGUGACGGUAAUGAGUAAAGAAGCACCGGCUAACUACGUG